rnacentral:rRNA from 1 species
GACGAACCGAGCGAACGUUGUUCGGAAUCACUGGGCUUAAAGGGCGCGUAGCGGGCUGCCAAGUUUGGGGUGAAAUCCUCCGGCUCAACCGGAGCAGUGCCUCGAAUACUGGCGGUCUCGAGGGAGGUAGGGGCGUGCGGAACUGUGGGUGGAGCGGUGAAAUGCGUUGAUAUCCACAGGAACUCCGGUGGCGAAGGCGGCACGCUGGACCUUUUCUGACGCUGAGGCGCGAAAGCCAGGGGAGCGAACGGGG